UACGUAGGGUGCAAGCGUUGUCCGGAAUUAUUGGGCGUAAAGAGCUCGUAGGCGGUUUGUCGCGUCGGGAGUGAAAUCCACUGGCUUAACUGGUGGCUUGCUUUCGAUACGGGCAGACUGGAGGUAUGCGGGGGAGAACGGAAUUCCUGGUGUAGCGGUGAAAUGCGCAGAUAUCAGGAGGAACACCAAUGGCGAAGGCAGCUCGCUGGAACGGUACUGACGCUGAGGCGCGAAAGCGUGGGGAGCGAACAGG
rnacentral:rRNA from 1 species